rnacentral:rRNA from 1 species
UAUCCAACCUGCCUGUUACCACGGCACAGCCCGUCGAAAGGCGGAUUAAUGCCGUAUGUGGUCCUAAGCGGGCAUCUAAUUAGGACUAAAGGAUUGGCGGUAACGGAUGGGGAUGCGUCCGAUUAGCUUGACGGCGGGGUAACGGCCCACCGUGGCGACGAUCGGUAGGGGUUCUGAGAGGAAGGUCCCCCACAUUGGAACUGAGACACGGUCCAAACUCCUACGGGAGGCAGCAGUGAGGAAUAUUGGUCAAUGGGCGAGAGCCUGAACCAGCCAAGUAGCGUGAGGGAAGACUGCCCUAUGGGUUGUAAACCUCUUUUGUGCGGGGAUAAAGUGAGGGACGUGUCCCUCAUUGCAGGUACCGCACGAAUAAGGACCGGCUAAUUCCGUGCCAGCAGCCGCGGUAAUACGGAAGGUCCGGGCGUUAUCCGGAUUUAUUGGGUUUAAAGGGAGCGCAGGCCGUCCUUUAAGCGUGCUGUGAAAUGCCGCGGCUCAACCGUGGCACUGCAGCGCGAACUGGAGGACUUGAGUACGCACGAGGUAGGCGGAAUUCGUGGUGUAGCGGUGAAAUGCUUAGAUAUCACGAAGAGCUCCGAUUG